GCGAGGUGGUGAUGUUUAUGUAUGAUAGUCUGUCAAUCCCCUGAUGUCACAAUGUGAAGACACGCAUACAUCCCGACAGGCUCUGAUCGC
rfam:Hordeum vulgare subsp. vulgare, WGS project CAJW01000000 data, contig: morex_contig_47986